AGUGAACGCUGGCGGUAGGCCUAACACAUGCAAGUCGAACGGCAGCACAGUAAGAGCUUGCUCUUACGGGUGGCGAGUGGCGGACGGGUGAGGAAUACAUCGGAAUCUACUUUUUCGUGGGGGAUAACGUAGGGAAACUUACGCUAAUACCGCAUACGACCUACGGGUGAAAGCAGGGGAUCUUCGGACCUUGCGCGAUUGAAUGAGCCGAUGUCGGAUUAACUAGUUGGCGGGGUAAAGGCCCACCAAGGCGACGAUCCGUAGCUGGUCUGAGAGGAUGAUCAGCCACACUGGAACUGAGACACGGUCCAGACUCCUACGGGAGGCAGCAGUGGGGAAUAUUGGACAAUGGGCGCAAGCCUGAUCCAGCCAUACCGCGUGGGCGAAGAAGGCCUUCGGGUUGUAAAGCCCUUUUGUUGGGAAAGAAAAGCAGCAGGUUAAUACCCCGCUGUUCUGACGGUACCCAAAGAAUAAGCACCGGCUAACUUCGUG
rnacentral:rRNA from 1 species